GACGCACGCUGUCGGCGUGCUUAACACAUGCAAGUCGAACGAAGUGGCGACCGGGUGAGUAAUCCGUUGGUAACCUGCCCUCCUUUUUGGGAUAAGCCUUGGAAACGGGGUCUAAUACCGAAUACAGGGGGAUGGGCUCGCGGCCUAUCAGCUUGUGGGUGGGGUGAUGGCCUACCAAGGCGGUGACGGGUAGCCGGCCUGAGAGGGUGACCGGCCACAUUGGGACGGGGAUAAGGCCCAGACUCCUACGGGGGGCAGCAGUGGGGGAUAUUGGACCAUGGGCGAAAGCCUGAUGCAGAGACGCCGCGUGGGGGAUGAAGGGUUUCGGGUGGUAAACCUCGUUCGGUAUAGAAAGGGAAGGUGGAGAAGAAGCGCCGGCUAACUACGAGCCAGCCGCCGCGGUAAUUC
rnacentral:rRNA from 1 species